rnacentral:rRNA from 1 species
GAGGAGCCUGCGCCGGAUUAGCUAGUUGGUAGGGUAAUGGCCUACCAAGGCGACGAUCCGUAGCCGGCCUGAGAGGGUGACCGGCCACACUGGAACUGAGACACGGUCCAGACUCCUACGGGAGGCAGCAGUGGGGAAUUUUGCGCAAUGGGGGAAACCCUGACGCAGCAACGCCGCGUGGACGAUGAAGGCCUUUGGGUCGUAAAGUCCUGUCAGCAGGGAAAAACACAAUGAUGGUACCUGCAGGGGAAGCUCCGGCUAACUUCGUGCCAGCAGCCGCGGUAAUACGAGGGGAGCAAGCGUUGUUCGGAAUCAUUGGGCGUAAAGGGCGCGUAGGCGGCCAGUACAAGUCUGGGGUGAAAUCCCUCGGCUUAACCGAGGAAUGGCCUUGGAAACUGUAUGGCUGGAGUACUGGAGAGGAAAGCGGAAUUCCCAGUGUAGCGGUGAAAUGCGUAGAUAUUGGGAGG